AUUGAACGCUGGCGGCAUGCCUUACACAUGCAAGUCGAACGGUAACGGGCCUUCGGGUGCCGACGAGUGGCGAACGGGUGAGUAAUACAUCGGAACGUGCCCGAUCGUGGGGGAUAACGAGGCGAAAGCUUUGCUAAUACCGCAUACGAUCUACGGAUGAAAGCAGGGGACCGCAAGGCCUUGCGCGGACGGAGCGGCCGAUGGCAGAUUAGGUAGUUGGUGGGAUAAAAGCUUACCAAGCCGACGAUCUGUAGCUGGUCUGAGAGGAUGAUCAGCCACACUGGGACUGAGACACGGCCCAGACUCCUACGGGAGGCAGCAGUGGGGAAUUUUGGACAAUGGGCGCAAGCCUGAUCCAGCCAUGCCGCGUGCAGGAUGAAGGCCUUCGGGUUGUAAACUGCUUUUGUACGGAACGAAAAGCCUUCUUUUAAUACAGGAGGGUCAUGACGGUACCGUAAGAAUAAGCACCGGCUAACUACGCG
rnacentral:rRNA from 1 species